ACCUCUAGCCAGGGACGCGCGCUCGGUCCCCCGCCGUGCGCCCCCGGUCCCGCGCCCAGGCUCCCGCCCCUGGCCUCCUUACCAGCCACUUGUCGCCCAGCUGCGAACUGGAGCGGGAGGCGGCGGCCGGAGGGCCCAGGACAGCCCCGGGAGGGCGGCGAGGCGGAGCAGGAGCGCCCCGGCUCCGGCCACAUUCUCAGAGUCAGGAAAAGGGGCGAGAGGCCACAUGUCUCCCUCUCGCCCAACUGAAAACGAAACGGCGCUCCAGCAGAUUGGGUGGAAAGAGCUGGGUCUCUUUUCUCUGUUUUUCACGCUAGAAAGGGCUUGUAAACAUUGUUCCUUUUAAAAUGACCUACCCCAGGCAUUUGUUUGGGCACACUUCUGUCCUGGGGUCAUCGUUCCUAGGUGGCUUCGGACCUGGGACUUUUCCUGUAUCUGCACAUUGUCGUUUUAUACACAAUUGCCAAGGUGGGACUGCUUUCAACUUUACUGUGCUUGAAGCUGCAAAGGUUCUGCCCUGAUGUUUCCUGGAAUAAUGCUGAGGACUGCCUUUCGGGUAGCCGCCCUAUUCAGUUCACUUCAUCUCGGAAAUACCUGACCCCUGCCUUGGAUCCAGCGGCCCUCCUGAGAGCUGAGGAAGGAGGAAAUCCUAUGUGUCUGCUCCCGGAGCUGCCACAACCCAUCUUCCCACAACUCGGAACUUGGAAAAAGGAACCCAGGACACGACUUUGCUUUUCUUUUGGACCUAGUUGAUACAAGUUAACAGGAUAUGCUUCUGGCCUGUUUCUGGAUUCUAAGGGUAGAACCAGCAUAAAACUAGUCAGUCCAAGUAUUUCUAAAGAUCCACAGACACAGUUCUCCUGGAUUUGGGAAGCCUAGAGAUAUUAGCACAAUAAUUAAGGCCCAACAACUUUUAAAAGCCUUUCCACUGCACAGUGAAAGAAAACCACAAACUCCUUGUUUAAUAAGUGGGAUCACGUGCUUUUAACACGAGGAAAAGGUCAAUCUGAAGCAACUGAUAUGGAACUGCCAGAGUAGGAGUUGAAAAUCUUCCUAAACUGCUGGAGGAUACACCUCUGAUAGCUUGAGACAAAUAUCCUCUUGAUCAUUGUUUCACCAUAUUUGUCUUUGCUCAUGGAGAACCAUUUUGAUCCGUGGUUUAGCCUCCCAGGUGAUUGAACAAUACCGGUGAUCUGAGGCAGACCCUCUGUGACGGAUAACAGAAAAGAAAAUUGAGGAUCAGAAAAUACGCACAAUUUGCAAAAACCAUGGGAAAGAAUAUUGAUUGAACAUCUACUCAAGAACUGCAAAACAGAGAUUACCUGACCUAAAGGAGUCCAUUCUCAAUUUUCUGUGCAAAUUGGGGAAGGCUGUUGAUAAUCGGUGGAUGCUAUAGUGCCCAUGGAAAGACUCUAGUCUGAAGAUACCAGUCUCUCCCUCCCAAGAUCACCUCCCCUGACCAACCUUCUGCACUCCUGACAGAUACAAGGGAGCAAGCAAGUUGCACCCAACCUAAUAGUAAAUUGCAGGGACAUUUCCAUUCUAAGGAAGGAAUUUUUGUGUGUGUUGCAACUCAGCUUCUGCUCUGGCAUUUUGCUGUGCAUUUAUAUUGCCAAUCAUGUUGGAGAGUCCAUGUGGUGAUUUCUGAAAACGAGAUGUGAGAAAGAAGAGGAUAAUUUAAGUCUAGACCUACAGAUUGUGCUGAUAAAGUGAUGAAGAACUACAAUCUUCUUAGUCAUUUCAUUGUAUAAGUGCAAUAAAGGAUUUUGUGUCUUUCCUGGCAAACAACUUGUGACCACAGUGAUGGCUCCAGCAGAAUGGAAAAGACCCUUUACCUCACAUCUCAGAAGUAAAGAUGCUGAUUAUUUGACAUCGCCAUUGGAAUCUCAAAACAGUGUAAAGCAUUUGCUAAAAAGAGUCACUUUCUGAGAAAUGACUCAGAAUUCGACUUACGUACUAGCAGAACUUAUUGCCCAUAAAAGGAAAGGCCACACUUUUUGUGAAAACUUAAUAAUCCCUAGGAUGUAAAAUUAUACUGAGUUAAAUCCUAGUCCCAUUUUUAGUACAAGAAACUGGAAAAAAAUAAUCCACUCUCAAAUGGUAAGACAAAUUGAGAUAUUGCUGAAAAGCCUCUUGACCCUGAAAAGUUCUGAAUAAUAAACUGAUAAAAGCAGCAGCAGCAUCUAACUUGACACCAGUCAUGUCAUUUG
rnacentral:lncRNA from 1 species